CUCAGCAUUCCUUUCAUGUUCCCUAGCUUGGUUCUCUCCUCACUGAAAAUCUGCUUGGCUGGAGGAGGUGGAAAGAAAAAGGGGGAGGGMAGAAUUGAAAUUGCUAGCUCUUUGCUUUGAUGCUGCCAUGUCUCUUGUCUGAACAGACUUCCUGCUGCUCCAAGGAAAGAUUUGGAGGUUUUCAGAAGGAGAGAGGAAGCUGACAGAGUAUUUUUCAACUUAAGCAACUUAACCCCAACGGGUUCCCCUCCCUUGUGUGGCUCCGUUCCUCUGCCUGGUGGGAGCAGCCUGGCCUGCCUCGGUGUCGCUGUCACUUGGUGGCACAGCACCCUCUGCUGGGCCCGGCUCACAUGGUUUCUCAAGACGCUACCGUGUUGGAGCAAACGGGGCGCCUUCCGGUCAUCGGAAGAAAUCCUGUUUUAUUCUAGAGGCAGGUACAACACUUUAAAACGAAUUAUCCUUUCAUGAAUUUCUUAUGUUUUAUGUUUUUGUUUCUUUUUGUCAAGUGAAAUUGGAAAUGCCUUUAUUCUCACUAGGUUCAGUUCACAGGGCCUCAUUUGGACACUAGAAUCAGAUGUUUUUGUUAUUUACCUGUCCCUGCCUCUCCUUUUUACAUCACUAGCAGAAAAAGGCUCUAGGAAGCAAAAAAACCAAGCUGGCUGUUUUUCUGAUUCAGGGAUGGGGACAUGUCCGCUUGAAAGUUUGGUGUCAGACCAAACUGAUGGGUAAAAGCUCAGGAAUAACUUCUUUUAUGUGGAGAACUGAUGUUACUUGUGUACGAAUAUAUUUGCUAAUAUAGUAUGUGAAAGCAGCCUUGGACUGUGUUGUAGCUGGGUCUGAGGAGUUCAAAGCUGUAACCUUUCUCUUCUCCCAAGAUUAUCUUAAACUCCCUUGGGCAAGCGAAGAUGAAAUUUGUGGAGAGUGAGCACUGAAUGAUUUUUCAGGCAGGCUUUUCAGGAAUCUGUGUUUCAAGACUUAUAUGUAUAUUUUAUAACCAUUUUUUAUAUUCAUUGCUAGGGCACGUACUUUGGACUGAACAUAAGAAAUGUUGCUUGCAGAUGUUGUAGCAGAGUUUAUGAAGAGCUUCAGGAAUCUGGAAAAGCAGAUGAGCUUAUUUCGCCAGCAGCAGUGUGUUGAUGAGCAGUAUGUGAGAAUUGGCUAAGGAACAUGACACACCAACAAAAGGGGUCAAAUAUACACUAGGCCCACAAGAAAAGAAAUGGGGCCUCUUGCAGGAAGCCUUCUGCAUAAAUGUCAGAACAUACAGGGAAAGCUCUUAACUUGCUCCAAAGUAGAGCCUCCACUGGCUUUCAGGACUUGCCUUUUUUGACAAGGAUUAGGAUUACUGAGUGUGUAAUUUUUUUGUGUGUGUGUGUGUUUUUUUUUUUUUUCUGUUUGUUUCUGUUUGUUUUUUAAAUCUUGAAUGGGCUGUGGGGAUGACCAUUUAUUUAUGUGGACUGAGUGCAGACUUGCCUGCAGAUUCUAGCCACCUCUGACUAGCAAGAGUAAGAGUUAAUUUAGGUGCUGUGCUGCUUUAGUUAAGGAGCUACUCUGCUCACGCCUCUUUGUGAUUUGGCAGCUCUUUUUCCCCCCAGUUCCACUCAUGAUAUGACUACAGCAUGAGGAUUUUUGGGGGGUAUUUUUUGUUGUGUUUAUUCAUAUUGAAAAUAGCACGUCAGGUGUCUGCCACCUGCAACAUGGCAUAUGGGGAAUAGGAAUGCCUGGGGAAUGGGUGAUCCUGUAUGAUCUUUGUAUGGGGAGUUCAAUCUCCCCAAAAGACUUCCCUUAACUUUGAAUAAACAGUCUAAACCUGCCAGUAAGAUGAAGAUAGGUGAACAUUGUUUAUUAAA